rnacentral:rRNA from 1 species
CCUACGGGUGGCAGCAGUGGGGAAUAUUGGUCAAUGGGCGCAAGCCUGACCCAGCAACGCCGCGUGAAGGAAGAAGGCUUUCGGGUUGUAAACUUCUUUUCUCAGGGACGAAGCAAGUGACGGUACCUGAGGAAUAAGCCACGGCUAACUACGUGCCAGCAGCCGCGGUAAUACGUAGGUGGCAAGCGUUAUCCGGAAUGACUGGGCGUAAAGGGGGCGUAGGUGGUUUAGUAAGUUGGCGGUGUAAUUCCGGGGCUCAACCUCGGCGCUACCGCCAAAACUAUUAGACUAGAGUGCAGGAGGGGUAAGUGGAAUUCCUAGUGUAGCGGUGGAAUGCGUAGAUAUUAGGAGGAACAUCAGGGGCGAAGGCGACUUACUGGACUGUAACUGACACUGAGGCACGAAAGCGUGGGGAGCAAACAGGAUUAGAUACCCCAGUAGUC